GACGAACGCUGGCGGCGUGCCUAAUACAUGCAAGUCGAACGCAGUGGGGACGGGUGAGUAACACGUGGGUAACCUCCCAUCAGAGGGGAUAACAAUUGGAAACAGGUGCUAAACCGAUACUGAUGGAUGGAACCGCGGUGCAUUAGCUAGUUGGUGAGGUAACGGCUCACCAAGGCCACGCUGCAUAGCCGACCUGAGAGGGUGAUCGGCCAAACUGGGACUGAUACUCGGCCCAUACGCCUACGGGAGGCAGCAGUAGGUAAUCUUCGGCAAUGGACGAAAUUCUGACCGAGCAACGCGUCGUGAUUGAAGAAGGUUUUCGGAUCGUAAAACUCUGUUGUUAGAGAAGCGGUAUCUAACCAGAAAGCCACUGCUAACUACGUGCCAGCCGCCGCGGUAAUAC
rnacentral:rRNA from 1 species